ensembl:lncRNA
CAAAAAGAGCUGACUGCAAAGAAUGUGCAGUUCAUGUGCACUGAUGUUAUAUGCAAGUACUGGCCAUACCUGCAGAGAAUUGUUAAAGAUUGUCCAGAGCUCUCUCCUCUCCUGGACAUGAAGCCUUUCCUGUCAGUGAUGCAUGCAAAGGCCCACUCUUGGAAAUGUGAGAUUAAAUGGGGUGGUCGAAACCAAGAAGGAGCAGGCACCACCCUGGGGGAAGAGGUCGAACAAGUUAACAGCUUUUUGUCGAGAACUGCUAUAUGCAGUAAAUACAUGACCAAAGGAGCCAGAACAGACAUGAUUACAAUCCAGGCCAUGGCAUGGAAUCAGCGCAAAAUACGGAAACUUGCAAAA